UACAGAGGGUGCGAGCGUUGUUCGGAAUUAUUGGGCGUAAAGGGCGCGUAGGCGGUGCGGUAAGUCACCUGUGAAAUCUCCUGGCUCAACUGGGAGCUUGCAGGCGAAACUGCCGUGCUGGAGUGUGGGAGAGGUGCGUGGAAUUCCUGGUGUAGCGGUGAAAUGCGUAGAUAUCAGGAGGAACACCGGUGGCGAAGGCGGCUCACUGGCCCGAUACUGACGCUGAGGCACGAAAGCGUGGGGAGCAAACAGG
rnacentral:rRNA from 1 species